rnacentral:rRNA from 1 species
UGAGGUCGGCCACCAGGCGACGACGGGUAGCUGGCGUGAGAGCGUGGCCAGCCACACUGGGACUGAGACACGGCCCAGACUCCUACGGGAGGCAGCAGUAGGGAAUCUUGCGCAAUGGGCGAAAGCCUGACGCAGCGACGCCGCGUGCGGGAUGAAGGCCCUCGGGUCGUAAACCGCUUUCGGCAGGGAAGAAGCCUCACGGUGACGGUACCUGCAGAAGAAGCCCCGGCUAACUACGUGCCAGCAGCCGCGGA